rnacentral:rRNA from 1 species
AUUGAACGCUGGCGGCAGGCCUAACACAUGCAAGUCGAACGAGUGGCGGACGGGUGAGUAAUGUCUGGGAAACUGCCUGAUGGAGGGGGAUAACUACUGGAAACGGUAGCUAAUACCGCAUACCAUCAGAUGUGCCCAGAUGGGAUUAGCUUGGUGGGGGGGUAACGGCUCACCAAGGCGACGAUCCCGAGCUGGUCUGAGAGGAUGACCAGCCAAACUGGAACUGAGAAACGGUCCAGACCCCUACGGGAGGCAGCAGUGGGGAAUAUUGCACAAUGGGGGCAAGCUGGAUGCAGCCAGGCGGCGGUUAUGAAGAAGGCUUGCGGGUUGUAAAGUAUUUUCAGCGGGGAGGCGUUACCCGCAGAAGAAGCACCGGCUAACUCCGUGCCAGCAGCCGCGGUAAUAC